GAAAUGCUAGGGCUUUUUUUUAUAGCAGCCUGCAUGGCACUAUGGCUGAAACUUUGAGAAGGAGAUGUUUCCUUCCAGCUCACUUCAAGUGUUUACAUAGUUCAUCAUCAAAUUAAUUUUAGUUCAGUGCACUCGCAUUUCUUUUUAACACCAUGUCAUUUUUUCUGUCUCAGACUCGGCGGAUAACGUUGACAAAUAGGAUAGUUCAGGUACUCGCACUACGUAAUGCAAU